GAUGAACGCUGGCGGCGUGCCUAAUACAUGCAAGUCGAGCGAACAGAUGAUGAGCUUGCUCCUCUGACGUUAGCGGCGGACGGGUGAGUAACACGUGGAUAACCUACCUAUAAGACUGGGAUAACUUCGGGAAACCGGAGCUAAUACCGGAUAAUAUAUUGAACCGCAUGGUUCAAUAGUGAAAGACGGUUUUGCUGUCACUUAUAGAUGGAUCCGCGCCGCAUUAGCUAGUUGGUAAGGUAACGGCUUACCAAGGCAACGAUGCGUAGCCGACCUGAGAGGGUGAUCGGCCACACUGGAACUGAGACACGGUCCAGACUCCUACGGGAGGCAGCAGUAGGGAAUCUUCCGCAAUGGGCGAAAGCCUGACGGAGCAACGCCGCGUGAGUGAUGAAGGUCUUCGGAUCGUAAAACUCUGUUAUUAGGGAAGAACAGAUGUGUAAGUAACUAUGCACGUCUUGACGGUACCUAAUCAGAAAGCCACGGCUAACUACGUG
rnacentral:rRNA from 1 species